rnacentral:misc_RNA from 1 species
GAAAUGCGAUAAGUAAUGUGAAUUGCAGAAUUCAGUGAAUCAUCGAAUCUUUGAACGCACCUUGCGCUCCUUGGUAUUCCUUGGAGCAUGCCUGUUUGAGUAUCAUGAAAUCUUCAAAGUAAAUCUUUUGUUAACUCAAUUGGUUUCUACUUUGGUAUUGGAGGUCACUGCAGCUUCACACCUGCUCCUCUUUGUUCAUUAGCUGGAUCUCAGUGUUAUGCUUGGUUCCACUCGGCGUGAUAAGUUAUCUAUCGCUGAGGACACUGUAAAAGGUGGCCAAGGUAAAUGCAGAUGAACCGCUUCUAAUAGUCCAUUGACUUGGACAAUACUUUUAUGAUCUGAUCUCAAAUCAGGUAGGACUACCCGCUGAACUUAAGC